UACCAAACAGUUGGCGGUUAUAUGCGGA
rnacentral:piRNA from 1 species